UGAAGUUUAGAUGGUGAGUGUUUAUUAAUAAUGUAAUAGCUAUUUGUAUAACAAGGGAGAAAAGUGCUACUUUUCCUCCCGAGAAUGAAGUUUGCUGCUCGACGCGUGGUGGAGGGUAGCAGUAAUCAUUCAAGGGAGGAAAAGGCACUUUACUCCCAUGUUAUACAUAUGGUUUUUCCACCUUCCUCAAAUUAAUAACAAGUCAUUUUUCAGUUUUACCUAAUUUAUUUAUGUAACUAACCAACAAAAUUUAUUAAAACUAAAACUAACAAGUAGGUACAAUAUAACUGUCAACUGUCAAAUAUCAGUCAAAUUAUUAAUGUAAACAUUGUUAAAUCAAAAUAACAAUUUACUGUUUGUUACCAUUCUGCAAAAUACAGGGUGUUUUAUAAAUAAACGUUAAAAUGUAUAUGAGACUUACGUAAUAGAAAAUAGAUAUUGUACAGGGCGUCAAUAAGUUAUAUUUCAUGAAUGAAAUAUCAUGACGUCACUUUUACUUUUCCUCCCUAGGGAGGAAAAAUAUGGAGGAAAAGUACAACUUUGCUCCCUACAAUCAGGUCCGGAAAAGUAUACUUUCGGUAGAGGUAGGUGGAAAAAAAUAUUACUAUUCUAGGAAUAAAUAACUAGUGAUAAUGGUAUGUCAAUAUGAAAAUGGCAGUAUUAAGGAUACAUUGAUUUUCUUAGUUGGUGUUGACUUAAAUAUGUACAAUUUUCAAUAAAUAUUGGUACUUUUAAGAGGAAACAGUAGCGAUCAA